CAAGACAGUCUACACAUUUGGGAUGUGUUGCUCGUUCAAACAUGACUAUAUCUUACACUCUUUUUUCGUGCUGGUCCAGCUAAUUUUGUUGCUCUCUGCAGUUCCCUAAACGUUAUGUUACCGUGGCAACUCUAAAGUUAUACAACUUUCAACGGAAAAGAAACUUUGACCUCUGAUUCAUUAACCAAUGAGAGAGAAGCUGAAUUUGCCGGUGGACCGAUCAGCUUUGUGUCAGGUCGACAACUGUAUCUUGCUCUCAUCCUCUCAUUCAGCACAGGUCAGAAGCAGGUGUCAAAUGCCAUUGCAUUGAAGGUGUGAUUGUACUUUGGAUUAC